rnacentral:tRNA from 1 species
GGUAAAAUGGCCGAGGAGAGGCGGCGAAUUGUAGCUUCGUUCACGGGCGGUAGCCCUUUUAUCA